CGGUACGUUAGCUGUAGUUCUGCUCGCUGGAGGCUCCGGGGGAAAGGGCGGGACUGCCCAUACCGAAACAAUUCUGCACCAUUCUCAACAGACCUCUGAUAAGGUACACGAUUCAAGGGUUUGAGAGGCCUCAGGUGCGAUACGUCCUUUGGUGUCCACGGUCAUUGCGACCUCGUCAGUGGGCUACCUGGACCACUCGGUGGAGAGAACAAAGUACCGCACCAGUGAAAUGCCUCAAGGAUUUCUUAUUAUUAUUAUUAUUAUUAUUUUCCAGGCCUACCAACGGGUAUUAGCAAACCAGACACAUUUAUUGAUUAGAAUAAACCUCAGAGUUAAUAUUCAAAGUACAUUAGUACUAACUACAUAUCUCAAUUUCUGUUGUAUACAUUUUUAUAAAAUCAAACAAAGAAAUGUGUUCAAAUCUUGGACCAACUUUUGUUCAUUGUCCCUGAGAUUUGCAUAAACCCACAGGUUCUUCUGCUCUAAGGCACUGUGACUUUUAUUAUUAUUCCCAUGUGUAAUUAGUUCUGUGUCAAAAUAAUAAAUCAUAAUUGUUUAGUCUGGCUCAAACAAUGCAUUCACAGAAAUGCUGCUUUCUCAUCCAGACUAACAAAGUUUCUCAUGGAG